CUGAGAAGCAAUCGUUUGAGUGUGCAAGUGAGCUGAACAAAGCUAUUAAAUGGCCAUAAUACAGCCUGAUUUGUCUACAGAGGCGAGCUUGGUGUGGCUUUCCAGCUGUUGUUGAAUACAAACCCUGUCAACACUAUAGGGCUGAUGCAGAAUGUUCAGUUAUAUGGUGAGGAACAGGAUUUGCAGGGAUGCGGUCUUGAUGCCGGCUGCAGGGAUCCUGGCAGUUGGAAUGCCGAUAUCCCGCCAGCUGCCUGAAUGCUGAAGCUGGAAUCCCGACAGUGGCAUCCCGGACAGCUUAAAGGAAACCUAAACAGCGGGAAUUCAAUGGCCUGGCAAUUAAACAGAGUGAUGUAAAGGCAAG